UACAGAGGGUGCAAGCGUUUGUUCGGAAUUAUUGGGCGUAAAGGGCGCGCAGGCGGUCGUUCAAGUCGCGUGUGAAAGCCCCCGGCUCAACUGGGGAGGGUCACGCGAUACUGAUCGACUCGAAGGCAGGAGAGGGUAGUGGAAUUCCCGGUGUAGUGGUGAAAUGCGUAGAUAUCGGGAGGAACACCAGUGGCGAAGGCGACUACCUGGCCUGUUCUUGACGCUGAGGCGCGAAAGCUAGGGGAGCAAACGGGG
rnacentral:rRNA from 1 species